rnacentral:tRNA from 1 species
GGGGAUGUGGCUCAGUGGUACAGCACAUGCCUGGCAUGUGUGAGGCCCUGGGUUCGAUCCUCAGCACCACA